AUGGGCCAUGGGUGGAUACUCCUUACCUUAAGAACCUGCCUUUGUAGUGCUCACACAGAUUGUCUGAUGAAAAGUAAAUAGCAAGGCGUCUUGCGAUUGAGACUUCAGUGUCCCCUUCGUCUAGAGGCCCAGGACACCGCCCUUUCACGGCGGUAACAGGGGUUCGAAUCCCCUAGGGGACGCCACUUGCUGGUUCGUGAGUGAAAGUCACCUGCCUUAAUAUCUCAAAACUCAUCUUCGGGUGACGUUUGAGAUAUUUGCUCUUUAAAAAUCUGGAUCAAGCUGAAAAUUGAAACGACACACAUGUUAUGUGUGUUCGAGUCUCUCAAAUUUUCGCAAUUUGAUGGUGAAUCGAAAGAAACAUCUUCGGGUUGUGAGGUUAAGCGACUAAGCGUACACGGUGGGGCCUUGGCAAGCGGGUCAGCUUAGUCCUUACCCACGAAAAUGUUUCUUUCUAUUCACAUCCGUUUGAAAAUUUUGAGACUCCCAACGCAUAAUCGUGUGUCUUUCAAUUUUUUCUUGAUCCACAUUUUUAAAGAGCAAAUAUCUCAGACGUCCCCGAAAAUGAGUUUUGAGAUAUUAAGGCGGUGACUUUCCUCACAACAGCAAGUGGCGUCCCUAGGGGAUUCAACCCUGUUACGCGUGAAAGGGCGGUGUCUGGGCCUCUGACAAAAGGGACACUGAAGUCUCAAUCGCAGACGCCUUGCUAUUUUACUUUUUAUCAGACAAUCUGUGUGAGACUACAAAAGCAGGUUCUUUAUAGUGAAGGAGGUGAGUCUACCGCACGUUUCCCUAUGGCUACUUGUGUACACAAAAUU
rnacentral:tRNA from 1 species